AUUGAACGCUGGCGGCAGGCUUAACACAUGCAAGUCGAGCGGGGUGAUGGUGCUUGCACUAUCACUUAGCGGCGGACGGGUGAGUAAUGCUUAGGAAUCUGCCUAUUAGUGGGGGACAACAUCUCGAAAGGGAUGCUAAUACCGCAUACGUCCUACGGGAGAAAGCAGGGGAUCACUUGUGACCUUGCGCUAAUAGAUGAGUCUAAGUCGGAUUAGCUAGUUGGUGGGGUAAAGGCCUACCAAGGCGACGAUCUGUAGCGGGUCUGAGAGGAUGAUCCGCCACACUGGGACUAAGACACGGCCCAGACUCCUACGGGAGGCAGCAGUGGGGAAUAUUGGACAAGGGGGGGAACCCUGAUCCAGCCAUGCCGCGUGUGUGAAGAAGGCCUUAUGGUUGUAAAGCACUUUAAGCGAGGAGGAGGCUCUUUUGGUUAUUACCCAAGAUAAGUGGACGUUACUCGCAGAAUAAGCACCGGCUAACUCUGUGCCAGCAGCCGCAGUAA
rnacentral:rRNA from 1 species